rnacentral:lncRNA from 1 species
AGAUAAGCAGGAACAAACAGGAAAUCACUCUCUUCUCUGCGUAGAUACUUAGCAGCCGUCAUAUAGCAGGCAAAGGAGUUGCAGGUUCGGCAUUCUCCGGACUGUGUGUGCCCGUUAGUCACUCAAUCAGCAAAGCCAGCUGCAAACUUGGAAGAUGGCAUGCAGCUGAUGAGGAAGACAAGGCAAAUCCACGCCCGAUGGAGGUGGUCAAGACUGACAUCUACCCUGUGAUGCUGGACUCGAGAUUUGGCAUGAACGAAAACACACUGCAUAUGUCUUUCUGAGUCUGGCUUACUUAACAUGAUGGUCUCAGUUUCUUCUCCUGCAGUGACCUCAUCACAUUCUUCUUUCCAGGGAACCACAGAAAACCGGGGGCCUUCACUCACCUUUCCUAAGAACAUGAAGAAAUCCAAAAUGGUGGCUUUCUAGAUGGAUGACAGAGGAAAUGUUGAGCCCCUCUUUAAAGUCCUCUGGAAGGGCGUGGCUUUUUCACCUCUGGCUAAACAGGAGCUUUCUUCCUCAUCAGAGCCUGAAGCUUUUGAUCCUCCAUCUCCCGCUUAUUCGCAGACUAUGCAUACACAACUUCUCAGCCAGGGGCAUGGACUCAAGAACAGGCUUCCAUCCCAUGCUCCUGUGUUCACUGAAUUGAUCCUGGGAAGUUCUUGUGUAGGCAGACGCAGCAGCUGUGAGUUCAUGAGAGCUGGAACCUUGAGAAUCCAGAAGGACAGAACAUGCAGAGAAAUGCAUACGAACAAUCUUCCCCAACUUCAGAUCAGCGGUCCAACCUGGAGUUCAUCUCACCCCUGAUGGAAAAUCAUAGGUCUGCUUUUUCAUCUCAGUGCCUCCUGGCAGCCUGGAGUGCCCACCCCACUGUGACCCAGGAAAAACAAUCUUCAGAGCUCCUCUUCCAGCUUCCCAUCCCAAGAGAAGAGCUGCUUCCUGAUGUUGUCCCUGCCCUUGGAGGACUGUUUAAAUGGACUUCUCAAUAAACCAUGGCUGCUCGGCAUCAGCUGGGAGCCCUUCUGAG